rnacentral:rRNA from 1 species
AGUGGGGGAUAACGCAGCGAAAGUUGCGCUAAUACCGCAUACGAUCUAAGGAUGAAAGUGGGGGAUUCGCAAGAACCUCAUGCUCCUGGAGCGGCCGAUAUCUGAUUAGCUAGUUGGUGGGGUAAAGGCCUACCAAGGCAUCGAUCAGUAGCUGGUCUGAGAGGACGACCAGCCACACUGGAACUGAGACACGGUCCAGACUCCUACGGGAGGCAGCAGUGGGGAAUUUUGGACAAUGGGCGAAAGCCUGAUCCAGCAAUGCCGCGUGAGUGAAGAAGGCCUUCGGGUUGUAAAGCUCUUUUGUCAGGGAAGAAACGGUGGCCUCUAAUACAGGUUGCUAAUGACGGUACCUGAAGAAUAAGCACCGGCUAACUACGUGCCAGCAGCCGCGGUAAUACGUAGGGUGCAAGCGUUAAUCGGAAUUACUGGGCGUAAAGCGUGCGCAGGCGGUUU